rnacentral:rRNA from 1 species
CAGCCGCCGCGGUAAUACGAAGGGGGCUAGCGUUGCUCGGAAUCACUGGGCGUAAAGGGUGCGUAGGCGGGUCUUUAAGUCAGGGGUGAAAUCCUGGAGCUCAACUCCAGAACUGCCUUUGAUACUGAAGAUCUUGAGUUCGGGAGAGGUGAGUGGAACUGCGAGUGUAGAGGUGAAAUUCGUAGAUAUUCGCAAGAACACCAGUGGCGAAGGCGGCUCACUGGCCCGAUACUGACGCUGAGGCACGAAAGCGUGGGGAGCAAACAGGAUUAGAUACCCCCGUAGUCCCUGUCUCUUAUAA